rnacentral:rRNA from 1 species
AGGGUGUAGACGCUGCAGACUUGGUGUUGGGAACCCUUCGGGGGUGCUCAGUGCCGGAGAGAAGUUGUUAAGUCUGCUACUUGGGGAGUACGUCCGCAAGGAUGAAACUUAAAGGAAUUGGCGGGGGAGGCACCGCAACGGGAGGAGCGUGCGGUUUAAUUGGAUUCAACGUCGAAAAACUCACCAGCAGCGACUGUUACAUGAAAGUCAGGUUGAUGACCUUACUAGAUUUUUCAGAGAGGAGGUGCAUGGCGUCAGUGACU